AACAGGUCACAGGAAGAUGAAGAGGAGGGUUUGCAGGCUUUUUGGCAGCUCCAUAAAACAGUGAAAUUUAUGCUCAAAUCUUGCUAUUCGUUGUCUUAACAUGUCUUAUAAUGCAAGGGAAGACUGGCAGGCACGUUGGUUUCUGCGGCAGGGAGGUUCAAAGUAUUCAAAACUGCAUUGCAUGUGAGAAGUUCUUGAGGAAGACCAGGAAACAGGGCAAGGAAACUGUCAUAUCUAAGCAGAAGUUGACAGAGGAGUUUCAUGAGAUUGUGACACAGAUGCACCUGAACAACUUGAGCUCACAGGUAUGGAACAAGGACACCAUCCCUGUCUGCGACCCUUCCACUCCCAUAGGCCUGAACCACCUGGUGAAGCAGUUGCUGUUUAUGUGCACUGUGUGCUGCAAGAAGGUGAGCCAGACAUAACACGAGGCACCGGAGCACUGCAAGAGUAGGGAGCACUAUGACUGCUACCAGGCGCAUCUCGAGGCCCUUGAGGAGAAGGCGAAAAGGGAGACAUCUGACAAGGAGAAUGAGAAAGAAGAAAACACCAAUAAAAAGGAAGCCACAGAGAAACUAGAAAUAAAGAAGGAAGAAGAGGAGGAUGAUAAUGAGACACAGACACAGACAACCCAGUGACAAAGGAGGAGGAGGAGGAAGAGGAGAUCGAGACAAAGACAGAGAAUGAAGAUGAGAGAAUGAAAGAUAUGGACAACAUGGAAGUUAUGAUGAAGAAGGGGAUCAGGAAGAGAAUGAGGAAGAAGAAGAAGAAGAAGAAGAGGAGGAGGAGGAGGAGGAGGAAAAUGUCACUAAGGAUGUACAAGAAGGGGAAGAGGAGGAGGUGGAAGGAGAAGGUGAUGUAAUGGUAUCUGUGGAAGAGGUGGCAGAGGAUCUGAAAGAGGAUGCUAAGACUGGAAGAAAAGGAAAAGCAGGAGGAGGAGGAAGAGGUAAAAGAGACAGGUGAGAAGACCACUACCUCAGCAACUGCAACACCUGAGGACAAGACAGGAGCCAGGUAGGAUGUUGAUAGGAAGUGGUGAAGAAUGUUUGUCUGGGAUGGAAAAUGAAAAAAAUUGAAUUGAGUGAGUGUUUGGAAGUGCUGAAAUAAUUUAAGUGUUUUUUUGCUUCAUGUUGGUGUUUGGUGUUAGCAGUGACCAGGUUGACUUGAAGGAGCACAUCACCAGGAUUCUGAUGCAGGGAAUGGAGGGGAGGGGAGGGUGUGUGUGUUCAUGCCAGUGUGGUGGGAGGGUUUAGGGCCUCAGCCUUGGCUAAGUCAGUCUCCCACAACACUGGCUCAUCAAGCUUCCUUAAGAAAAUAUAAAGUUUUUGAACUAAAGUUUUUGAAGUUAAAUAUGUUACUUGAUAUCUUUGGUUUGCCUUGAAUGAAGUGACAUUUUAUCUUAUGUAGAUGUAAUGUCAAUAUUUUACAUUGUUCAUUGUUAGAUUGUUUAGGUGAUGCAUCAGAGUAACUAGAUGGAAGGAGACUGGCCUAAGAUGUCUUGUCUGUGCCUUGAUGGUCAAAGUGGCAGACACAGCCUAGCACCCCCACCUGUCUUCCCUCACUUGCUACACUCCUCCAUCCCUGUCUGGAGUUCUUUUGUCUUCCCUCAGGUGCACUUCAUCAUAAGGCAUAUUAUGGUCUUCCUCUACAGUCCAUCAGUACCAGAUAGCUGUGACUGUCAUACACUUUUUUCAGUCAUUAA